CAAUUUAGUUAAGAGACAUUUUAAUAAGUGUGCUAAAAUCUAUUUAAUCUAUGUAAAGAAUGAUUGACCAUUAUAUAUUGGUAAGUGUUUUCUACUUGUUACAUGCAAGGGGGGGAAUAUAUGGAUAAACGUCUGAAGUUUGUUUAUGUUAUCGUCCACUUUCUUGCUCUAUUUCUUGCUGUAAUGAACGUUGAAGCACAUUUUCAAUGUCAUAUUGACUCUGAAUGUGAAAAUCAAAUUAAGUGUGUGCUUCCUCGAGUCGCAAAGUGUGUUAGAUACAAAUGUGAUUGUGUUCGUUUUGAUGCUGAACAAGAUCCUUGGAGUGCAAGAACUUAGAGAAUGGACAAAUACCAUGCAAUGAAGAAUGAUUUAUCGCACUAGAAAAAGAUCUACGAAAUAUUGUUUAUGAUAAAAUAUUUAAUGAUAUAAAAUUUAUUUGUUUGGUUGGCACCCUAUAGUUGAAUUGUUUUUUUAAGUUUUCCUUUCCUAAUUUCACAAACCAUGCAGUUAUAGAUUUAUACUCUUAAAUGUUGUUAAUGAAAUGAAAUAAAAUAGUAAAUUAUAUUAUUUA